AAGCAUUCAGCUGCUCUACCUCAUUUAAUCCUUACCAGGAUCCUAUGAGCAGACUCUGAGCCACCCGAUUUUACCAAUAUGGAAACUAAGGCUUAAAGAAGUUCAACAACUUGCCCAUAGUCACACAGCAAGAAAGAAGGAAAGAUAAAGAUUUGGUUCAAUUUGUAGUUAUAAUGUGGGUUUAUAGGCCACAUUAUGGGGUCAUAAUCUCUUCAAAUUUGAAUGAGGGAACUGAAAAUUCAAUAGAAAAUGUCAAAGAACAAAUUAGCUUCUAUAAUAACUUCUAAAUGGCCCAACUGAGCAGCUCUCCGAAUACUCAGAUGAUUAAAGAUGUGGUUGAGUGUUUCCUUUGGCAGUAGGAAAUUGCCUUUGUCUUGAGAAACAUUUUCUCUCCUUCCUGCUCACUGGGGUGAGACCAUGGCUAGAGGCCUGGUGGGAGAGACUCCAAUGCAGGAAGAAGAUGGGAGAGGAUGAGGCGUCCUGGACCAGGUGAC
rnacentral:lncRNA from 1 species